rnacentral:rRNA from 1 species
UUCGGGGACAGGGUGACAGGUGGUGCAUGGUUGUCGUCAGCUCGUGUCGUGAGAUGUUGGGUUAAGUCCCGCAACGAGCGCAACCCUUGACCUUAGUUGCCAGCAUUCAGUUGGGCACUCUAAGGUGACUGCCGGCUAAAAGUCGGAGGAAGGUGGGGAUGACGUCAAAUCAUCAUGCCCCUUAUGACCUGGGCUACACACGUGCUACAAUGGGUGGUACAAAGGGCAGCGAAACCGCGAGGUGGAGCGAAUCCCAAAAAACCACUCUCAGUUCGGAUUGCAGGCUGCAACUCGCCUGCAUGAAGCCGGAAUCGCUAGUAAUCGCGGAUCAGCAUGCCGCGGUGAAUACGUUCCCGGGUCUUGUACACACCGCCCGUCACACCACGAGAGUUUGUAACACCCGAAGUCGGUGGGGU